AACGAACGCUGGCGGCGUGCCUAACACAUGCAAGUCGUGCGAGAAAGUUUCCUUCGGGGAGCGAGUAAAGCGGCGCACGGGUGAGUAACACGUAGGUAACCUACCUUUCAGUCCGGAAUAACCAGCUGAAAAGCUGGCUAAUGCCGGGUAAGACCACGAUCUCUGCGGGGAUCGCGGCCAAAGGCGGCCUUUUCAUGAAAGCUGAUGCUGAGAGAUGGGCCUGCGUACCAUAGCUAGUUGGUGAGGUAACGGCUCACCAAGGCUUUGAUGGUUAGCUGGUCUGAGAGGAUGACCAGCCACACUGGGACUGAGACACGGCCCAGACUCCUACGGGAGGCAGCAGUGGGGAAUAUUGCGCAAUGGUGGAAACCCUGACGCAGCGACG
rnacentral:rRNA from 1 species